rnacentral:lncRNA from 1 species
UCCGUCUAUGAUUCAGCAAUCCCAAAGUGUCUUUUUUUUGUUUUUGUAAAUAAGCUUCCGGUGUGAAAACAAAGUUUGUGACGCUGGGAUGUGCCCGAAUAGGGAAGAUAUCAUUUUAAAUACCCCUUUCUUAUCCCAUACUACUCUUUCAAUAUAUAAUCUAAUUUUUUUAAUCUAAAAAAUUUCAUAUCGAAUUCGAAGUGCCAUGCUAUUAUUACUUAACUAAUUCAUAUUUCCGAGGG